rnacentral:rRNA from 1 species
GCACAAGCAGUGGAGUAUGUGGUUUAAUUCGAAGCAACGCGAAGAACCUUACCAGGUCUUGACAUCCGAUGCAUAGCACAGAGAUGUGUGAAAUCCUUCGGGACAUCGAGACAGGUGGUGCAUGGUUGUCGUCAGCUCGUGUCGUGAGAUGUUGGGUUAAGUCCCGCAACGAGCGCAACCCUUAUUGCCAGUUACUACGUUAAGAGGACUCUGGCAGGACUGCCGUUGACAAAA